UCUCGAUAGCGUAAAAGUUAACUCAAAUUUGUAUGGAGUUGGAACGUUUGCCUACGUUUGCCGCUAGGGGCGCUGUUCCAACUGCAUACAGAUUUGAGUUAACAUUGAAAUACUCGC
rnacentral:pre_miRNA from 9 species